GAGACAGCAGGCUGAAGCUGCUGGGAGGUUCUGCCUUCUCAACAUCAGUGUUUGGUUGUUCUAGAGAAGGAACUGUGGAGUGAACCUGAUGUCUUGCCGGAUCUGUGCAUGCUCUCCUCCUUCCCGUCAGUUUAUUCAGCACAUCCCAUCUUUCCCAGGUGCGUGCCCACCAGCUUGUGCUCCCACCCUGUGAUGUUGUGAUCAAGGCUUUGCUGAAUAUGCUCGCAACAUUCCAGACAUCACCAGCCUGGAGGCCAUUGCCAAGGACAUCUUGAGGUAUACACAGUCUUGCCCUGAUGACAGAGUCGUCCACUUCCUGAGGACUGUUGAGUACUACUCAGAAGCAAGCCAAGAGGAGACCAGAGUCUAAACCUGCUCAUCCACCUGGACACGGUGCAGUGAAGGAGAAAGAGAAACCCAACUCGGAGGAGCAGAAACACCAUCCUCCACCAUGGGCUAGCUCAGCCAAUGAGAAUGAUGUGAAGGAGCCUGAGCCUGAGGGGCUGAAUGGAGACGUAGAGCAACACGGGGUUCUCAUCCAACCUGAAAGUGCCUUUAGCAGCAGCUCAGAGACAUUCAAUACUUACCCUCAUUUAAAUGCACUAAAUGUAGACAGUCAGCGCCAUGGAGAUGACGGCCUGCAGGUUGCUGUCCAGCAUAGAGAGGAAUGAGUUUGUUGGUUUUUUGUAAUAAGGUGAAGGAUGGAAGCUGGAUCAGGGUUAGGAACAUUUCAGAGCAUAGUCAGUGUUUGAUUUUCAUUUCAGAUACAGAAACUGUAUCAUUUUCAGAUCCCCUCAGAAUACUUCAUGACAGACUGGUAGUUAAAGUGUUUUCCCUCAUUUCCAAUACUCCUGAUUCCUUAUUUUAAUUCAAGCUAAAUAAGGUUUAAUUCUCCUAAUUACUGGAGUUGUGUUCAGUGACAGAACACUGAGUACUGUACUCCAGACACUCUGCCCCGAUCUCUCUGCUUAGAACUCUUCUAAUACCUUAUUGUUCCAGAGAUCAGUGGUUCAGCUGUAACAUUAACUUCCACUGCAUGGUUCACAGUUAAUGACUCAUUGUUCAGCAUGUUUUAUUCUUCCAUCAUUCAGUGAAGAAACAGCUGAUGUCACUGGAAGCCCAUGGAAGGUGUUGGUGACAGAGAUCGUUCUCUGGUUCUACGUUCCCCCGUUGCAUUUAAAGCCACUAUCGUUCUCAUCCUCUACAUACAGUUUAUUCUCUGCAUUAGUUAAAUGUCUGAUCCAAUGAUUGAAGGUUUCAGUGGAAACCAUUUGGAAUGUUUGAUGUAUUUUCAGCUAGAAAUCACAUUUGGUUUAAUGUUGGUUUAACAUUCAUAUUAGAACUUUACCAGAACCCAAACUGUUGCAUCUGUUCUGAUCUGAUUUUGUUCCUGUAUCAAACAGAUGCAAAGUAAACCUUUCAGUAAGUGAAUAAAAGGUUGAUGUAAACACAUGAAAUAAAACACAAUGUCCUGCUGUUGGGUUUGACUGAAUGUUGAUGGAUUGCAGCUUGGUGGUGUUGAACAGAA